UCAGAACCAGGGUGGGUUGGGGAUAGC
rnacentral:sRNA from 1 species